GGGAGAGGCCCCAGGGGCAGAGGGGGUAACAGAGAGCACCGGGCGGUGAACGGAGAGUGUCUGGGCCAAUCUUUGCCUGGCAAAAGGAAGGACAGUUAUCCUCGGGAGACAGCUGGGAAAGCGACGGCUGGUGCAGCCCGGGCUUCGUGAGCCGGCUCGGCCCUGUGAGGAGCUGAAGGACGUGCUGCUAGCAGUGACGUGUCAAAGCCGCAAGCACCUGUGACGGAGCAGCGGGGGCUGUGGCGAGCACCAUGUCCAGUGGAACAGCUGGUACGGUGCCGGCGGUUUGGGCCCACCGAGAACACCCCGGUUUCUGUGGCUGAUGGUCUCCCGUCGGCAGUGGAGAAAGGACCAGGGUCCGACUGAGCUCCAAGCUGCCAACUCUCAUGGCACAUCUCCCGCCAGCUGCUGGGGUCCCUGAGGACAGUCCCAGCUGCUUUCAUUAAGAACACCAAGGAAGGGUCUAGUUCCAACUGGUCCAGAGAAAAGUUUGGUCAGGGGUGCAGGUAACGGCCCAGCAGCUCAGAAAGCAGCCAGCAAAGGAAGAGCCCAACCCUGACUCCCCUGCCUGUUCCCACUGCAGUGCGCUCUGCCUGCCUUGCAGCAGACACCCACGUGGGGCUGGCCUGUGAGUGGGGCUGCCAGAUGUGGAGAGGCUUUCAAGGGUGCUGGGGGGGACUCACUCAGCAGCUCCCCCAACAGGCAUGGCCCAUGUGGCACUCCCCACGGUCCCACCUGACGGGAGAGGACCCCCAGAGGAGACAGUGCAGGGCUGCAGAGCCACCUGGCCGGAGACAAAGCUCUGCUCUGUAUACCGCAGGGCACGGGUGCCCAUGGGCAGACUGAGGCUGGGGUGGAUUGUGGCUCCAGUGCCCAGCAACCUGGCCUGCAGGUGGACUUGGUUUCCUUGCACAGCAGCCGAGAGCCAGAGGGUAAAUACAGGGACAGGUGCAAGAGUGUGACAGCAAAUCAGAAACCCCUUCUAGAGGGCAGGGAUGGAGAAAUGUCCGGGGCCACCUGCAUAGGGCCCAAGGCAUGGUUCCCCCAGCUGCAGAAGCUGUGAGGUGCUGGACAUGUCCUGCUCCCAGCAGUGUGGGCCCACAGCCCAGCCAGCAGCUCCGACCACAGGUGCAACUGGCCAUUCUCCCCUGGCACUCCGAAGGUGUCUCCUGGGAAGGGCAGCCUGCCCCUGCCCCUUGACUGAAAGGGCCUGGGUGCUGGAGAAGGUUCCUUUCCCCCCCCCCAACACACAGUGGCUAGUUCUCUGCCAAAUGCUUCCCCUCCUCCGGGCCGAGCAGUGCUGUCCCUGCCUGUCCCACACCUUCAGCAGCAGCGAGAGUAAACAUAGCUUCAGCCCCCCGUUGCAACUUGAGCAAGAGCCCGGACAGCACAGACCACUCCCCCUGCCUCCACCCUCCAAGGGGCCAGCUCACAGGCUGGGGGAGCUCACAAUGCUGCUCAUCAGCAGGGCCCAGCCCCCAGCCAGCUGUCCAGGGAAGCCAGGAAACCACCCUGCCCCUCAUCAGCCACCGCCCCAGCACUGCUCAGAAUGACCUUCUCACUGCCUGGACUGUCUCUCCGCGCUGGCCCAAGGCAGAUCUCCAGCCAGUGAAGAAUACAGUGCGCUGGAGGUCGGGGUGCUGCUCCAGGGACCUCGGUUACCUACCGGGGAAAUUCUUUUGAUGUUCUCUGCAGCCCUCAAGGGCCGAGACAGACAGCAGUGCACCCCAGCUCUAGGUAUCAGCCCAAGGAGCACAAGAGCCCCCACACCUGGCCCUUGUCUGGCAAGGAAGAGGCCCAGCUCUGGAGAAGAUGUAAUUGAGACUUGUCCUUUUAUUGGGGAUUUUCACAGUUGAUGGGGGGGUGGGAGAAGUGAGAGAAUAGUACUUUGACUCCAUAGCCGCACAGCUGGUAGGACAGUGUAGACACACACAAGACAUGGGCCCUGUUGCACAAUGGGGAGGGAGGCAGAGGAACUGGGCUGGACAGAGCUACAGGCCAUGGCGAAAUACCCUCCCCAGGGGGACUGCAGAGAUCAAACC